rnacentral:rRNA from 1 species
CCUACGGGUGGCAGCAGUAGGGAAUCUUCCACAAUGGGCGAAAGCCUGAUGGAGCAACGCCGCGUGGGUGAAGAAGGUCUUCGGAUCGUAAAACCCUGUUGUUAGAGAAGAAAGUACGUGAGAGUAACUGUUCACGUUUCGACGGUAUCUAACCAGAAAGCCACGGCUAACUACGUGCCAGCAGCCGCGGUAAUACGUAGGUGGCAAGCGUUAUCCGGAUUUAUUGGGCGUAAAGGGAACGCAGGCGGUCUUUUAAGUCUGAUGUGAAAGCCUUGGGCUUAACCGGAGUAGUGCAUUGGAAACUGGGAGACUUGAGGGUAGAAGAGGAGGGUGGAACUCCAGGUGUAGCGGUGAAAUGCGUAGAUAUAUGGAAGAACACCAGUGGCGAAAGCGGCUCUCUGGACUGUAACUGACGCUGAGGUUCGAAAGCGUGGGUAGCAAACAGGAUUAGAUACCCUAGUAGUC